UUUGUUGACUGGUGCCCCACUGGCUUCAAGUGUGGUAUCAACUACCAGCCACCAGGUGUUGUCCCAGGUGGUGACCUUGCCAAGGUCCAGAGGGCUGUGUGCAUGAUCUCCAACUCCACCAGUGUCGUCGAGGUCUUCUCCCGCAUUGACCACAAGUUUGACCUCAUGUACGCCAAGCGUGCCUUCGUCCACUGGUACGUCGGUGAGGGCAUGGAGGAGGGAGAGUUCUCUGAGGCCCGUGAGGAUCUUGCUGCCCUGGAGAAGGACUAUGAAGAAGUUGGUGCUGAGUUCGACGAGGGUGAGGACGGUGACGAGGGCGACGAGUACUAGAGCCUGCCUCCUGGUGCUUUCGCAAGGCGUGCUGCUGCUAUCCCAUGAUCUGCCCGAGUGGCUUUAUCUGUUAUCUGUCUGUUUGAAUCUUUGCUUUGUGGUGUUUGUUUUACAACCUGUUGUGUUGUAAGACCCUUGUAUCUUUGAACCUGUUAUGCACCUUGGUUAAUAUGCAUGCUAUCUGGUUAUCUACACCAUAGCCUUAAUUGCUCUGUCUCCAUUUUCCUGUUUUAUACUAAUUUGUAUUGUUUCAUUUGUGGUACUGUUGAACUCUGCCUAUUAUCUCAACAUAGCCGGUCGGAAGCCCGAGUGAAGGAGUGUUGGUGAGAUGCUUGGCGAGCCAUUGUUUCAGCCACUCUUGUGCAGUUGAAACCCAAAAGCCCUGGCCCAACUUGUUAAACUUGGCCACUCUUAUGCAGACGAAACCCAACAGAUGGCCUACCCCAAAUUGGUUGCAAUGAUGAUCGAACCUAACUUGAAAUGUUGUUGCUUCCAGUCAAGUGCUACGCUUGUACCAACCUAGAGUUUGAACUGGAAUUGAGGAAAUGUUUGUUGAGUUUGCUAUUUUACAGGUGCCUGAAGUUUCUCCUAUAUCAUCAGCGACCUAAUUUGAUCUUCCUGUGGUCAAUUGGAAUUCAGGGAAUGUUUGUUGCUAACAAGACGCCUGAAAUUUAUUCUCCUAUAAACCACGAUUAAAAGAUUCAGUAGUAGCCACAAGCUUAAAAAGCAGCAAGUAUAAAUCACAGGCAAGAAAUAUAUAAGACCUGUAAAUUGUUUGUUUUCUGAUGGACCAUAUCAGACGUAACUCAGAUCUGUACUCUAUUCUUUAGAUAGAUGGCAAGAGAAUAUGAUCAAAAAUGCUGGUGAAGUAUGUCCAAAUAACAUGGUUCAGUGUUCAAGCAGGAAGCCAGUCUCCAUCAGGGGGUGUACCUGUAAAAGAUUUGAAUCAUCAGUUUGGGUCUCAACAAUUUCUUCUAUCAACACCAAGCAAUCCCCACACCGCUAGACCGGCGUCAAACCCCCAAUUAUUGCCCCGGCGACGCGAGUUACGGCGGCCAGCGCCAGCGGAGUGCAGACGGGCCUACGGUGGCGUGCGCCGUCGGGGAAGAGUCCCGUUGCUCCCCUGUCCAUGCUUCCCCGCACGACACCACUCCCCGGCGGCGUUGACCGAGCUCGGAGCUGAGGCGAGGCAGCCGGCGGAGUGCAGAUGGCGGCCGCGCUCCUCGUCCGCCGUCCCGGUGGCGGCUUACGUGGGCAGCCUCGAGCUCGGCCACAACUCCCAGCAGAUCAAGGCCAAGCUCGCGCACACGCGAGGCCUGCUGCACCGCGACCUCGGCCACAACCCUGGACUGCAGGACUUGCUGCCGGCGCUGAGCAGGAACGCCGACCAGGCGGAGGACCUGCUGGAUGAGCUCCACCACUUCCAGAUCCAUGACAGGCACCACGGCACCAGCCACGCCACCACCCAGGCCAAUUUUCUUCCUCAUGGCCGCAAUGCUCUCCGGCACACUGCCACUAGCUGGGCCGCGUGCUUUUCUUGUCGUCUGCACAAAGAUCACGAUGACAAGUGACGUUUCCACCCAGUGAUCUUCUCCAGGAAAAUCAAGUCGGUGUUACAGGACAUGCAGGCCCACUGUGACUCCAUCUCCGAUUUGCUUGGGAAAUAUCCCAAGCAGCAGCAUGGAAGCCACCCUACACCGGCCUCAGAUUGGAUCCACAAUUAUGCAAGAUACAUUAUAUGGUAGGAGACACACUUUUGAGGAAACUGCCAACCGUGUCAUCAGCCGCGAAGAUACCUCUAUAAUGAUGCAAGGCUGUAUAGUGAUACUGGGGAUGAAAAUUAUUUUGAAGUCAGGGUCUGGGUAUGUGUAUCGACUGAAUUCGAUGUGCUUAAGCUCACCAGGGAGAUCCUUGGCUGCAUACCUGAACAAGAAGGAAUCAACGGUGUUGCAAAUGAAGCAACAAAUUUAGACCAGCUUCAGAAAUCCAUAGCACACCGUCUCAAGUCCAAAAGGUUUCUAAUUAUCUUGGAUGAUAUAUGGAAAUAUGACGGUCAGGAUCAGUGGAAGACCCUGCUAGCUCCAUUCACAAAGGGGGAAACCAAAGGAAGCAUGGUAAUUGUCACAACUCGAUUCCCAAAGAUAGCAGGCAUGGUGAAAAUACUUGAUCCACUAGAGCUGCGAGGUUUUGAGUCUUAGGGCAUCUCCAAUGCGCGGGCGCUUGCGUAGAUGCUUAGGGAAUAGAAUAAAAUAAAAUAAAACAAUGUUUACCGUCUGGGUAAGCGCCUAGGCGUCCAACGCUAGUGCCCUGUGAGACGCUUGUUCUCUCUCAUCAAAUUAAUUACCGGUGAACUGGAAGCACUCCCCUAACCGCUCACUGAUCCGGGGGCCCAAGGACACUAAUUUAACCCGAGACAAUAUUUUAAUUUAACUAAUUAAACCCACUGUUAAAAUAUGUAUCACUUACACAAGGAGCCACUGGUCAGUAUUGACUAGUCAAACGGUCCUGUUGACUGGACCUGCUGACGCAGCAGAGGCUCCUCGAGUCAGCCUCUACUAACUGGGCAGUUGACCCAGUCAACUGGGCCCACUGGUCAGCCUCUCUGCUGGUCAGUUGGGUACAAUUCUGGGUACACAAAUCAAUUACUGAAUAAACUUCGAAUUAAUAAUAUUUCAGGAAAUUCCAGAAUAUGUUUAAAUCUUUGAAAAAUCAUAUAAAUUAAUCCGUAAGUUAGAUGAAAAUAAUUUAUAUAUGAAAAUUACUCGAAAAAAUACAACAAUCUGAAUAUGCAAUCUGUUCAUCUUGAAGGAAAUAUGCCCUAGAGGCAAUAAUAAAGUUGUUAUUUAUAUUUUCUUAUAUCAUUAAAAAUGUUUAUUAUUCAUGCUAGAAUUGUAUUAACCAGAAACUUAGUACAUGUGUGAAUACAUAGACAAAAUAGAAUAUCCCUAGUAUGCCUCUACUUGACUAGCUCGUUAAUCAAAGAUGGUUAACUUUCCUAAACCAUAGACAUGUGUUGUCAUUUGAUGAACGAGAUCACAUCAUUGGGAGAAUGAUGUGAUGGGCAAGACCCAUCCGUUAGCUUAGCAUAUUGAUCGUUCAGUUUUAUUGCUAUUGCUUUCUUCAUGACUUAUACAUAUUCCUCUGACUAUGAGAUUAUGCAACUCCUGAAUAUCGAAGGAACACCUUGUGUGCUAUCAAACGUCACAACGUAACUGGGUGAUUAUAAAGAUGCUCUACAGGUGUCUCUGAUGGUGUUUGUUGAGUUGGCAUAGAUCGAGAUUAGGAUUUGUCACUCCGUGUAUCGGAGAGAUAUCUCUAGGCCCUCUCGGUAAUGCACGUCACUAUGAGUCUUGCAAGCAAUGUGACUAAUGAGUUAGUCACGGGAUGAUGCAUUACGGAACGAGUAAAGAGACUUGCCGGUAAUGAGAUUGAACUAGGUAUGAGGAUACCGACGAUCGAAUCUCGGGCAAGUAACAUACCGAUGACAAAGGGAAUAACAUAUGUUGUUAUGCGGUUUGACCGACAAAGAUCUUCGUAGAAUAUGUGGGAGCCAAUAUGUGCAUCCAUGUUCCGCUAUUGGUUAGUCACUGGAGAGGUGUCUCGGUCAUGUCUACAUACUUCUCGAGCCCGUAGGGUCCGCACGCUUAACAUUCGAUGACGAUUUUAUAUUGUAUGAGUUAUGUGAUUUGAUGACCGAAUGUUGUUCGGAGUCCCGAAUGAGAUCAUGGACAUGACGAGGAGUCUCGAAAUGGUCGAGAGGUAAAGAUUCAUAUAUAGGACGAUAGUAUUUGGACACGGGAAGUGUUCUGGGGGUAUCGGGUACGUAUCGGGUCACCGGAAAGGGGUUCCGGGCACCCUCGGCCAAGAUAUGGGCCUUAUUGGGCCUAGGAAGGGACAUACCAGCCCCUAGUGGGCUGGUGCGCCCCAUACAUGGCCGAAUAAGGUGGGGAAAUGAAAAGGGAGAGGAGAGGAAGUAACGGGGGCAAUUCGGCCUCCCCUUUCCUUCUCCCCCUCCUCUUUCCUUCUCCCUCCGGAAGACAUGGAAAGGGGGAUGCCGAAUAGGAUUAGGCCCCAAGUAGGAUUCCUCCUACUUGGGGUGCGCCUCCUGCUGCUCCCCCCUCCCACCUAUAUAUAUAUGUGGGGGGGGGGCACGCUAGAACACACCAAGUAUUCUCUUAGCCGUGUGCGGUGCCCCCCUCCAUGGUUACACACUUUGGUCAUAUCAUCGUAGUGCUUAGGUGAAGCCCUGCACCGGUAACAUCAUCAUCACCGUCGCCAUGCUGUCGUGCUGACGGAACUCUCCCUCGUCCUCAACUGGAUCAAGAGCUCGAGGGACGUCAUCGAGCUGAACGUGUGCUGAACGCGGAGGUGCCGUACUUCGGUGCUUGGAUCGGUUGGAUUGCGAAGACGCUCGACUACAUCAACCGCGUUACUAAACUCUUCCGCUUUCGGUCUACGAGGGUACGUGGACACACUCUCCCCGCUCGUUGCUAUGCAUCUCCUAGAUAGAUCUUGCGUGAUCGUAGGUAAAUUUUUUGAAAUACUGCGUUCCCCAACAGUGGCAUCCGAGGAAGGUCUAUGCGUAGAUGUUAUAUGCAUGAGUAGAACACAAAGAGUUGUGGGCGAUAAUAAUCAUACUGCUUACCAACAUGUCAUACUUUGAUUCGGCGAUAUUGUUGGAUGAAGCGGUUCAGAUCGACAUUACGCAUACGCUUACGCGAGACUAGUUCUACCGACGUGCUUCGCACACAGGUGGCUAUGUUGGGGAACAUAGUAAUUUCAAAAAAUUUCCUACACACACACAAGAUCAUGGUGAUGCAUAACAAUGAGAGGGAAGAGUGUUGUCUACGUACCCUCGUAGACCGUAAGCGGAAGCAUUAUGACAACGCGGUUGAUGUAGUUGUACGUCUUCACGGUCGACCGAUCCUAGCACCGAAGGUACGACACCUCCACGAUCUACACACAUUCGGCACGGUAACGUCCCGCGAACUCACGAUCCAGUAGAGCUUCAAGGGAGAGCUUCGUCAGCACGACGGCGUGAUGACGGUUAUGAUGUUGCUACCGAAACAGGGCUUCGUCUAAGCACCGCUACGAUAUGACCGAGGUGGAUUAUGGUGGAGGGGGGCACCGCACAUGGCUUGGAACAAUCAACUUGUGUGUUCUAGGGUGCCCCUGCCCCCGUAUAUAAAGGAGCAAGGGGGGAGGCCGGCCGACCCUAGUGGCACCCAAGGAGAGGAGGAAUCCUCCUCCUAGUAGGAGCAUGAUUCAUCCUUUUCUAGUCCUACUAGGAAGGAGGAAGAGGGAAGGAAAGAGUGGGAGAGGGAGAGGGAAAGAGGGGGCGUGCCCCCCUCCCCAAGUCCUAUUCGGACUCCCCUUGGGGGGAGGGAGGGGGGCGGCACCUCCUGGGCUGCUGCCCUCUCUCUCCUCUAAGGCCCACUAAGGCCCAAUACUCCCUCCGGGGGUUCCGGUAACCCCUUCGGCACUCCGAUUUUCUUCGAAAUCACCCGGAACACUUCCGGUGUCCGAAUAUAGCCGUCCAAUAUAUCGAUAUUUAUGUCUCGACCAUUUCGAGACUCCUCGUCAUGUCCGUGAUCACAUCCGGAACUCCGAACUACCUUCGGUAUAUAAAAACACAUAAACUCAUAAUACCGAUUGUCACCGAACGUUAAGCGUGCGGACCCUACGGGUUCGAGAACUAUGUAGACAUGACCGAGACUCAUCUUUGGUCAAUAACCAAUAGCGGAACCUGGAUGCUCAUAUUGGUUCCUACAUAUUCUAUGAAGAUCUUUAUCGGUCAAACCGCAUAACAACAUACGUUGUUCCCUUUGUCAUCGGUAUGUUACUUGCCCGAGAUUCGAUCGUCGGUAUCUCAAUACUUAGUUCAAUAUCGUUACCGGAAAGUCUCUUUACUCGUUCCGUAAUGCUACAUCCAGUAACUCACUCAUUAGCUACAUUGCUUGCAAGGCUUAUUGUGAUGUACAUUACCGAGAGGGCCUAGAGAUACCUCUCCGACAAUCAGAGUGACAAAUCCUAAUCUUGACCCAUGCCAACUCAACAAACACCAACGGAGACACAUGUAGAGCACCUUUAUAAUCACCCAGUUACGUUGUGACGUUUGGUAGCAUACAAAGUGUUCCUCCGGUAAUCGGGAGUUGCAUGAUCACAUAGUCAUAGGAACAUGUAUAGUUAUGGAGAAAGCAAUAGCAACAAACUAAACGAUCAUCGUGCUAAGCUAACGGAUGGGUCAAGUCAAUCACAUCAUUCUCUAAUGAUGUGAUCCCGUUAAUCAAAUGACAACCCAUGUCUAUGGUUAGGAAACAUAGCCAUCAUUGAUUGAACGAGCUAGUUAAGUAGAGGCAAACUAGUGACACUCUGUUUGUCUAUGUAUUCACACAUGUACUAAGUUUCCGGUUAAUACAAUUCUAGCAUGAAUAAUAAAGAUUUAUCAUGAUAUAAGGUAAUAUAAAUAACAACUUUAUUAUUGCCUCUAGGGCAUAUUUCUUUCAUGCUAGUGGGUGUCUAUUUCUCCAACUUUAGUCGAAUCGAGUGUGACUACGCCCGGUCCUUGUUGAAGGUUAAAACAACAAACUUGAUGAAAAAUCGUUGUGGUUUUGAUGCGUAGGUAAGAACGGUUCUUGCUAAGCCCGUAGCAGCCACGUAAAACUUGCAACAACAAAGUAAAUGACGUCUAACUUGUUUUUGCAGGGCAUGUUGUGAUGUGAUAUGAUCAAGACGUGAUUGUGAGAUGAUCAUGUUUUGUAACACAGUUGUCGGCAACUGGCAGGAGCCAUAUGGUUGUCGCUUUAUUGUAUGAAAUGCAAUCGCCAUGUAAUUGCUUUACUUUAUCACUAAGCGGUAGCGAUAGUCGUAGAAGCAAUAGUUGGUGAGACGACAAUGAUGCUUCGAUGGAGAUCAAGGUGUCAAGCCGGUGACGAUGGUGAUCAUGAUGGUGCUUUGGAGAUGGAGAUCAAAGGCACAAGAUGAUGAUGGCCAUAUCAUAUCACUUAUAAUGAUUGCAUGCGAUGUUUAUCCUUUAUGCAUCUUAUUUUGCUUAGUACGGCGGAAGCAUUAUAAGAUGAUCUCUCACUAAAUUUCAAGGUACAAGUGUUCUCCCUGAGUAUGCACCGUUGCUACAGUUCAUCGUGCCGAGACACCAUGUGAUGAUCAGGUGUGAUAAGCUCUACGUUCACAUAUAACGGGUGCAAGCCAGUUUUGCACACGCAAAGUACUCGGGUUAAACUUGACGAGCCUGGCAUAUGCAGAUAUGACCUCGGAACACUGAGACCGAACGGUCGAGCGUGAAUCAUAUAGUAGAUAUGAUCAACAUAGUGAUGUUCACCAUUGAAAACUACUCCAUCUCACGUGAUGAUCGGACAUGGUUUAGUUGAUAUGGAUCACGUGAUCACUUAGAUGAUUAGAGAGAUGUCUAUCUAAGUGGGAGUUCUUAAGUAAUAUGAUUAAUUGAACUUUAAUUUAUCAUGAACUUAGUCCUGACAGUAUUUGCAUAUCUAUGUUGUAGAUCAAUAGCUUGCGAUGUAGCUUCCAGUUUAUUUUUGAUAUGUUCCUAGAGAAAAUAAGUUGAAAGAUGAUAGUAGCAAUGAUGCUGACUUGGUCCGUGAUCUGAGGAUUAUCCUCAUUGCUGCAUAGAAGAAUUAUGUCCUUGAUGCACCGCUAAGUGACAAACCUAUUGUAGGAGCAGAUGCACAUGUUAUGAAAGUUUGAUAAAGCUCGGUAUGAUGACUACUUAAUAGUUUAGUGUACCAUGCUUUACGGCUUAGAACUGGGACUUCAAAAACGUUUUGAACGCCACAGAGCAUAUAAGAUGUUCUAAGAGUUGAAAUUGGUAUUUCAUACUCAUGCCCGUGUCGAGAGGUAUGAGACCUCUGACAGUACUUUGACUACAAGAUGGAGGAGAAUAACACAACCAAUGAGCAUGUGCUGAGAUUGUCUGGGUACUACAAUUGCUUGAAUCAAGUGUGAGUUAAUCUUUUAGAUAAGAUAGUAAUUGACAAAGUUCUCUAGUCACUAUCACCAAGUUACUAGAACUUAGUGAUGAACUAUAAUAUGCAAGGGAUGACGAAAGUAAUUCCCAAGCUCUUCGCGAUGCUCAAAUCGACGAAGGUAGAAAUCAAGAAAUAUCAUCAAGUGUUGAUGGUUAAAAAGACCACUAGUUUCAAGAAAAAGGCAAAGGGAAAGAAAAAGGAACUUCAAAGAAGAAUAGCAAGCAAGUUGCUGCUCCCAUGAAGAAGCCCAAAGCUAGACCCAAGCCUGGAACUGAGUGCUUCUACUGCAAAGGUAAUGAUCGCUAGAAGUGGAACUGCCCUAGAUACUUGGCGGAUAAGAAGAAUGACAAAGUGAACAAAAGUAUAUUUGAUAUACAUGUUAUUGAUGUGUACUUUAUUAGUGUUUAUAGCAACCCCUCAGUAUUUGAUAUUGGUUUAGUUGCUAAGAGUAGUAACUAAAAACAGGAGUUGCAGAAUGAACACAGACUAGUUAUGGACGAAGUGACGAUGUGCGUUGGAAAUGAUUCAAGGGUUGAUAAGAUCACCAUUGCACACUCCCUCUAUCCUCGAGAUUAGUGCUGAACCAAAAUAAAUGUUAUUUGGUAUUUGUGUUGAGCAUGAAUAUGAUUGAAUCAUGUUUAUUGCAAUACAGUUAUUCAUUUAAGUCAAAGAAUAAUUGUUGUUCUGUUUACAUGAAUAAAACCUUGUAUGGUCAUACACUUAAUAUAAAUGGUUUAUUGAAUCUCGAUCGUAAUGAUACACAUAUUCAUAAUAUUGAUGCCAAAAGAUGCAAAGUUGAUAAUGAUAGUGCAACAUAUUUGUGGCACCGUCGUUUAGGUCAUAUUGGUGUAAAGCGCAUGAAGAAACUCCGUGCUAAUGGGCUUUUGGAAUCACUUGAUGCUUGCGAACCAUGCCUCAUGGGCAAGAUGACUAAGACUCCGUUCUCUGAAACAAUGAAGCGGGCAACAGACUUAUUGAAAAUAAUACAUACUGAUGUAUGCGGUUCGAUGAGUGUUGAUACUCGCGGCGGGUAUCGUUAUUUUCUGACCUUCACAGAUGAUUUGAGCAGAUAUGGGUAUAUGUAUGAAAUAAGUCUGAAACAUUUAAAAAGUUUAAAGAAUUUCAGAGUGAAGUGGAAAAUCAUCGUAACAAGAAAAUAAAUACGAUCUGAUCGUGGAGGUGAAUAUUUGAGUUACGAGUUUGAUCUUCAUUUGAAACAAUGCGGAAUAGUUUCACAAACUCACGCCACCCGGAACACCACAGCGUAAUGGUGUGUCCGUACGUCGUAAUCGCACUUUAUUAGAUAUGAUGCGAUCUAUGAUGUCUCUUACCGAUUUACCACUAUCGUUUUGGGGUUAUGUAUUAGAGACAACUGCGGACUACAUAUGGAGAAAAAUGAGUGAAUCUACACUCUAAAAUACGUCUAUAUACAUCUGUAUGUAGCCCGUACUGAAAUCUCUAAAAAGUCUUAUAUUUAGAAACGGAGGGAGUAUAUGCCAGUCAUUUCAAUUUGAAAAGACCAACUUAAACUUGAUUAUUCGAUGUUAUCUGAACAAAAUAAAUGAAUACACUAACAUCAUUUAGUUUGGGGCACAAUGGUUAAUGUGGUUAUGAUAAUCUCAACAUUUUCUUCUUUUUGUUGCACUCACUUCCUCAAUGUGUGAGUUACCCUGAGGUGUAGAUAACCGCAAUAAAUUUCUCAUUGAUUGGCUAUAUGAUUUGUGCUGGCACUCACAUUCUAGUUUAUCAUGCAUCUCUUGGUGAGUGGAGGUUACCGUUGGCGGUCCACAACUGCUACGUUUUGUAUAGAUGCCCUCCAAACUAACAAUCAUGUCCGUAAGCUAGAUGUGAUAAGAUGGAGGAUCGCCUCCCCCAUAGUAUGUUUUCUUAACUACGAUCCAAGUCCCAGCCAUUUCCGCUACAUCUCUAGAAGCUAAUUAUGCUGCAUAGCUUUAUUCAAUGUAUUAACUUACUGACAGUAUCAGUAAGGACCAAACAUUUUUUUCUUUUGAAAUACAGUAGCUUAAAUGAGAGUCGAAAUAGCCUUCUGUAGUCAUACUGUAUUUCUGAUUUACAUUGGACUUAGUACUUUAGCUAAUUAUAUAAUUACUGGACUAAUAAUUUAAAUGGACAUAUUUUCAGGAUGCGCAAGGAGCCAAGUCAGAAGUUUACAGUAAGUUUCCUUUCACAUUUACUACAUUGGUUUUGAAGCACAUCAGUAUCAUUUAGGAAGUCACUCUUUACUUGUGCGAGCUUCUCUUGAAUUUCAAUGAAUCUGUUUAAUAUGACAGUGUACAAAAAAGCAGAAGAAGUCGACUUUGACUUCAGCUGGAGGUUUAGAUCAAUCAAUGGCAGGAGCAUUAUGCCGUCACUUAGGGAUCAGGAAAGAGGUACAUGUCUAGACUGUCCUUUUUAUUUUCACUGUUUGAUUAUUAGUGCUGAAGUUGACAUUCACAGGGCAAUGUGCAUAUGCUUCAACGAUGUCAUGUACUGAAUCCCUUUACAAGAGGAAGAAUGCGGUUGUGAGGAUUGGUAGUGAAACUUAUCUGUCAAAGGAGUUCGUUCUGAAUCUCUCGCUGGAUCAUCUUCAAGAUUUAGUCACUUCAUUUUGUGCAACAAAUCGAAUAAAAGGUUUCAACACGCUUGAUUACUGUCUCGAAAGGAUGGUAGCUCAGGGUGUCAUAACUGAAGAAGCCUAUAACAGUGCAAAAGUGAACUUUCAUGUAUGUUUUCUGAUAUUUUGUGCACUCAACAGACUCUGAACUAGUUUUCUUUUUGCCUAGUAGUUAUUGAUUGUACCUCCGUCCCAAAAUAAGUGUCGCUGAUUAGUACAAAACUUUUGUACUAAAUCUGUAACACUUAUUUUGGGACGGAGGGAGUACAUGUCAUUUGUAUACCCAACAUCCUCUGAACUAGUUUUCUUUUUGUCUUGAGUUGUUAUUGAUACAUGUCAUUUGUACAACCCAACAUGCUCUGAACAGUUUUUUGUUUCGUCUGAAGUAGUUAUUGAUACAUGUUAUUUGUACACCCAACAUUGUCUUGAACAGUGCAUGACCUAUAAUGGUUGUUCUAUUGCAGAGUUUCCAAAGAUAUCGCAUAAAGGAAUUUGAGAAACCCAACACUCCCAAUGAUAUCUACGACAUUCCUAAGGGGGCAACAUUCGAAACAAAUCCUGCAGGGCAGGUCUCUUCCCAUUGCGUGGUGAUUGUUGGUUACGGCAGGACAAGUGAUGGGCUGUCAUACUAUAUCUUUCAAAAUUCGUACGGUAAAAAGUGGGGAGACGAUGGUUUUGGCCGAGUAGCUUGUAGUUGUCUCGAAUAUCUGUACCGUGCUAGUGUUUAGGUUAUCGAGUACUGCAGGAUGGUGCUCAUGUUAAAAGUGACACUGAUAUAGAAUACCCACGCUUUUUGUAAAGCAGCCAUCUGACAGGAGUUCUUGACAGCCCUCAUACAUGUGGUUGUAGAUGUUUCAGUUAUCACAGAUUUGGAGCCUCACUGUAAUGUCAGAUGUACUGAUGGAGAGCAAUAGGAGUAUCUUAUAGCAGAGUUGGAGCCUCACUGUAAUGUCUGCUUAAUUGCAGAGAGCUGCAGAACUUAUGUCAGUCAGUUGAAUUUAGCAAUGCCUUGUCUUUCAUUUUUCUGUACAUUCUAGCUGGUGAUUCCCAUUAUUGUGUUGAAUUUUAUGGAGCGUCCAACAGACUAGCAGGCUUGGCUGGCAGUAGGAUUUUUUAGUUAAAGAAGAAAUUAGCUUGUAUAUGUAAGGAUUUAUUUUGCGCUGUUAGAUAUAUAAUCGUUCUGUUUCCGUGAGAUUAAUGUCUGCUGCUUAUUCGUAUAAUCAAGUAAGAACAAUCACUUGUUGCUCAAACUUUGCUAAAAAGAAAACCUGUAGCUCAAACUCCUCUGUAUCCUCCUUUUAAAUAAAAUUAGUAAACUUACAAAUAGAUGUUCGCAUUGGACAAUAUAAGACAUAAAUUACAACGAAAGAGGCGAAAGACCGUUGCAACUUACAAAGAUGUAGUAGCAUUAAUCCACACCCUUUGUUUUGAAGCGCUAAUCACUACCGACUUGAUAAUACAGUGUGAAUUUUUUUGUGAACAAUCACGCAUGUGUAUUACGUGGAAUUACGUAUGUGUGAAAAUUCAUAACCAUAUACUUCCACACAUGGCGUACAGAAAAAAGCCAAAACGUAUUUUUAGGAUGGGCCAAUUUCUUUUGUUUGGCCGAAUUUUUCUUUUUUGUACAGCCUACAAAAUACAAAAAAAUCAAAUGAUUUUCACAAGCCAGUGAAAAAAGAUGUUUCCAUGGAAUUCUUUUCAAAUUGUUUUGAAACUUGAAAAUAUGACUUUUCAUUUUUUUUAAAUACCGAGCUCCCUGGAGCUCGGCCUUCAUUGGCAUUUUCCGAUGGCCACUGCUAGGCGCCGGGGCACCGGCCCAAAUUUGGGCCAUCGCACCGCAGCCCCACGAUGCGUGCGCCUCGGGUCGCACGAUUCAGCGCUCCUCUCCCGCAUCAUCCCCUCCUUCUUCCUCCUGUCUGCCUUCUUCUCCUGCAUCAUCAAUCGGAAAAAGGGAGCGACUACCGGGCGUCGGGGAGAGAAAAGCUGCGGCGAGCGCCGGCGACCCUCGCUGUAUUCCCCUCGCCGGAGAUGAGAGCGCCGCCGCACACACAGGCUCGCCGCCAUUGCAGACCCGCCAUGGCUCCUAGGGCAGGCCAUGGUAUGGUCCUCAAGCUCCCGAAGCCGUGCGACCCGGCUGCGGCCGGGGAUGCUGGAACCGUCCAGUCCCGGUGCUUCGACCGACGAGCACCCAACCCCCUGCUACAACCCCCUGCGACCGACGGAUUCAGAGAAAGCUUCAACCAUGAAAAAAGCUACAACCGGCGUAGAAGAAAAAACUUCAAACAUGGAAAAAAGCUUCAAGCGACAUCAAGAAAAGAUUAAACCGGUGUGAAAAAAAUGUUUCGAUCGGAAUGGGAAAAAGCUUCAGCCAUGGCAGAAAAGCUUCAAACAUGGAAAAAAAGCUUCAAGCGGCAUCAAGAAAAGAUUCAACCGGUGUGGAAAAAAUGUUUCGAUCGGAAUGGGAAAAAGCUUCAGCCAUGGCAUAAAAGCUUCAUCCGGUGUGGAAAAAAGCUUCAAACAUGGAAAAAAAGCUUCAAGCGGCAUCAAGAAAAGAUUCAACCGGUGUGAAAAAAUGUUUCUGAAUGGGAAAAAGUUUCAGCCAUGGCAGAAAAGCUUCAUCCGGUGUGGAAAAAAGCUUCCACCAUGAAGCUGUCAAAAAACGAGUAUUAGUGAGAGCUACGUGGCGACGGCGAAAGCUGCAACGAUCGUUGAUGAGAGCUACAAGCGGCUAUGGAAAAAGCUUCAAUGGUUGCAGCUCUGGCAUGGUAGGUUGCAGCUCCGGCGUGGCUGGGUCCGGCAAGGCAGAGCUCCGGUGAGGCGGAUCCAAGCAGAUCUGGCCGAGGGCCGCUAGAUCGGCUGAUUCCCAUGGUCGUGGCACCCUGGGAGGCCUGCAGGCAGUGAUGGUAAACCAUGGCGGCAGGGCCUGAGAAGGAAGCAAAGAAGGAGCAAGGUGAAUGAGCGGCAAAGAAGAGAAAAAAAGGAAGGAGAAGGAUAGGAGGGAUGUAUGCGUGCGGGCUCUUUGACCGCGUGGCGCGUGUGUGGACGCGUGACCGGCCGAACGCUCGGCCGGUGCGCCGUUCCCUUUUCACACCAAGUAAGGAGAAUAUCUCGCACCAAGUAAAAUCUGAAAUACUGCGACUCCCAGUCCAGGUUUAAAAUACGCAAAUCAGGAGUUUCUUAGGACACAUCAUCCUAUACUCAUUCAGUUACAAUAAUUUAUUACGCCGAUUCGAGCAUAAUUUUAGUUAAUAUUAAAGAUACAUAUUACAAUAACAUGUCACAUGCAUCACCUGUUGCUACAACGGCACUUCUCUAAAAGGAACUUGCUUGUCAUAGACCUUCAGCAUAUAGUAGACCAAGACCAAACAGAUUAGUUGGUGGAUAGAUUCCUCUCAUCACAUAAAACAGUCAUCAUCACUGUCCAGCUCCUCCAAGUGAAAAAUCAUCUCAUUAUGUCCACCCAAGUAGCCACUGCCCGAGGGAUGCCUAAGCUCCUUUGCUCGAUCAUCGCACCCAAAACAAUGACCUUGUUGAUGCGUGGAAAAAUAUAUGUAUACAUUAGCACAUGAUAUGACUAACGGAAAAUCAUGGAGAUUCCACCAAGUAUAUAGUUACCAACUUACCAUAAUUGUUUUCUUCCAAAGGUGUGCAGAGAACAACAUCCUCUUCCUGUGUGCAGUCAGGUCGCAUCUCAGCAAAGAACAUAGUAUGUUUGCCAUCUGAACCUUUCACCAGAAAGUUGGAGUGCACAUAUAGUGCUGCGCAUCCAUCGACUUGAUUCCUCUCUUUCUCUUCCACAAAUUCCAACUCAGAGAGCUGAAAUAGAAGCGGUCGACACAUGUGAGUAUAACAGACCGGUCAGCAGUAAAUCGCAUGACUUGCAUGGAUGUUCUAGCCAACCAUGAGUAGUAAAAAUAAUGAACUACAACAGCAGUUUAGUUCCAUAAUAACUCAAACACACCUUAAUACGGGUCGUUAAGCAAAAAACGCAAGCAAACAUAAAUAUUUGAUUAUGAUUUAUUUUGGCAUACCUGAAUGUUGUUUCGCUUGGCAUACGUGUUGAGCGCUAUGACCAAGCCCUUGCGCUUACGCUCUUGUCUGCGUUUCAGCUGCUCAUCAGGGGACGGCGACUUGGGCCUGAGACUGAACUGACGUUUGGCGUCAGCUACCCACAGAUCACCAAACUCCUUGAGAGUAAUCGAUGAUGGUCUAGGAAUGGGACCAUCCCCUAUCUGCAGUCUGGCAGAGCCGUCACUGCAUGCAUGGACAUAGAGGAAUUAUGAUGUAAAAUCUAAGGCUUAUUUUGUUUGGUCUAAGAAGAAAAAAAAAUCACUGUAUGGAUACUAAUCUAUUGGCAUUCACCUUAUGUCAUAUGUUUCAUCAAGCUCUUGAUUGCAUCUUAAGUUCUUCAAAUAUUAUUGAUUCCUUCAUACUAGAUCAAAUGUGAAGUACGAUAUCCCCAAAGUUGCAUAUAUGAAUCCACACACACAAAAAAGUACUGUCUGCAUACGUACAUCCAAAAUUCUCCAGAAACACAACAGGUUGCGUUGGCGGACGAAAUGGCCACCGACCGAUCGACCACUCCUGCUUCAGAUCAGAUAUAAUUAACAGCAGGAAUAAGCGAAACCCCUUUGGGGGUGGCGGAUCCCCACCGGGUAAAUCACAAGGACGGCGGUACCUGUACUGUAACUGGAGCGAGAUAUGGAGAGGGCGGGUGGUGAGGAAGGAGGAGAUCGCCGGCGGUGAGAUCAAACCGCCUCCGCCGCCGACACCUAGAUGGAUUUCUCUGUUGCCUUUUCUUUCCUCUUUUUUUAUCUUUUUUUUGAGGGUUAGUUGUCUUAUCUAAAGGAAGAGGAAGACUUGUAGUAGUACUAUAAGAAGAUCCACGCUGGGUAGCCCAUCGGCCCAGCCCAGUUCGGUCUGCUUUUCCGAAAAGGCCUCGGCCUGGUGGAGUGGACUGGAGAACGCGUUUAGCGCUGGCAAAAACGGUUGCGACGGCUGUGCGCGGAAAUUUUGAUCAUUUCUUAAAUAUAGUAUAUGAUGAAUUUGUUUCCAAACACAUGUUUUGAAAAGAAAAUAGAUACGUGCUAAAUAUUUUUCAAAUACAUUGUGUUUUUCUAAAAUUUCAUGAUAUAUUUUUGAAACACAUCAACAUUUUUUAAAAUAUCACGUGAAUGAUUUUUUUGAAUUGUGAAAACAUGUUUUUUACAUUGUAUAACAUUUAAAAACUGCAUGAUUUUUUUAUGAAAUGUGUGAACGUUGUUUUGAAUGAUAUCCAUAUUUUUUAAAAUACACAGGAGAAUUUUUUUAAUACCGCAUGAACAUUUCUUGAACACGCAAUGAUAUAUUUUUAAUUUAAAUGGUAGUACCAUAUUUCAGAAAUGUAUUGCUUUAAAAAAAUACCUGUAACUAUUGACACCGAUAACAAUUACAGGUACACUGCUUUGGACCUAAGAUCCAAAAAAAGAUAAAAUAAUUCCUAUGACUAAGAAUCACAAUGAAACUUUUUGUAAACACCUUCUUCGCGGUAUCAAUCUCUGCUCAAAUAAAUACUCCAAAGACUUCGGUAAUGAGGCUGCAAUUAGACUGGAGGAACGAUGUUGUCAGCAUCAAGAAGGGCGUGGCUUCGCUGAAGCGUGGAGUCCAGACAACCCAGUUUGGGCCGGCCCACGGCCACUUCGCUCUUUUUUCCUUUUUCUGGUCUUUUCUUUUCUUAUUUUUCUGUUUCUAUUUCUUUUACUUUAUUUUCCAUUUUAUUAUUUUUUGUGUAUUAUAAAAAAUUCAUUGCAUAUUACAAUUUUUUCAUCAUAUAUUAAGAAAAUGUUCACAGUAUACUAAAAAAUGUCCAUCAUGCAUUAUAAAAAAGUUUACCGUAUAUUAGAAAUUGUUCAAAAAUUAUGCAAAUGUUCACUGUGUGUUUUGAAAUUUGUUCAACAUAUAUUACACAAAUGUUCAAUGUAUUAAAAAAUUGCUCAACGUAUAUUACAAUAUGUACAAUGCGUAUUCGAAAAUUGUUCAAUGUAUAUAAUCACGUUUUUUCAACAAUGUUCAUCGUAUAUAAAAAAGAUUCAUCGUGUAUUUUUACAAUGUUCAUUGUAUAUCAAGAAAAUUUCCAUCGGAUAUUAAGAAAAUGUUCAAUGUGUAUUUUUAAAAUAAAAACCGAACAAAAAACCGCCCGAUAUAGUAAACUGGAUGCUACAGUAUGGGCCGUUACAGUAAACCCGACGCGACACUCAAACCAACUAAAAACGGAGAGAAAAUGAAAUAAAAUAUCGCUCACAGGGAGAGUGGGCCGGCCAAGCGCGUGCGCCCGUGGGAAGUUCCCUCCUUUUGACGCACGCGGGCGUUACACAGCCACACAGGUGUUCUUGUCUAAGACGACGUGAAACAAAGCACUGCCCCCGGGUGGGUACGUAUGUGUGUACAGGUUCCGCCACAGAGAGGAGAAACAUUGGUCAAAAUUAUGAAGUAUAGUUUCAGCCAAAAGUUUGCAUGUGUUCUAUUUCUUUUUUGAGAUGUAAGUUCGUAUGUUUCUUUGCGAAAAGUUCUCUUCCAGCAGGGGAUGUUCUACUUGAGAGGAAUAUGGCCACGAUAAGUAGUUGUGCAGUUUGCGGGGAAGAUGAGUCAUGGCGUCACUCCCUGCUAGAGUGCACCAUGCAACGUUGUAGACGGAAACAAAAAAA
rnacentral:lncRNA from 1 species